GCUAAAAUUGAUAGGGUUUUACCCUCUGAAUUCUCAAUCUUUUUGAAUGAAAAGAACAAAAUAUUAUCAUCUUUGUUCUUUUCUCAUUUAGUUUCGGACAUUGCUUUUGUUUAUUAUUUUCAUGAAUAUAAAUACUUUUAGUAUUACUAAUAAACAUUUGCAGUAUGUUUGUUUUCUGGGUUUGUUUUGUCUAUGCAAACUGAUUAGUUUUAUGUUGCAAAAAGCUUGAGUCUAGUUUCUCAAUCAAUGAUAUAUCAUCAACUUUGGUAUGUGUUUUGCAUACAUUUCAAAUUUGUAUAUAUUUUCACAAUUCACCCCUUUGAUUAACUUUCAUGGUAAAAUAUUUAUCAAUUAUUCGUAGGUGUUGUGCAUACAUUUUAGAUCAUCUUGUAGUCAAUGAUGAAUUAAAAUUUGUGCACAACAUCUUACUUGCAUAUGCUCACCAGAUAUGAAUUUCAUCUCCCCAUUUAUUCUUUUAGUUAAUAAGUUAACAUUCUCCUAAAACUUUUUAGUGGACGGUGUUAAAUGCAACAUUGAUUCUCAUUGUAUUCUACAAAGAUUGAUUGCAAUAUAUUGUUUAAGCUGGUGUUAAGAAACACCGGACUUUCGUUGACCAAAUGUACUAUUCAUAUGUCU
rnacentral:lncRNA from 1 species